rnacentral:rRNA from 1 species
GUGGGGAAUAUUGGACAAUGGGCGAAAGCCUGAUCCAGCCAUGCCGCGUGUGUGAAGAAGGUCUUCGGAUUGUAAAGCACUUUAAGUUGGGAGGAAGGGUAGUAACCUAAUACGUUGCUAUUUUGACGUUACCGACAGAAUAAGCACCGGCUAACUUCGUGCCAGCAGCCGCGGUAAUACGAAGGGUGCAAGCGUUAAUCGGAAUUACUGGGCGUAAAGCGCGCGUAGGUGGUUCAGUAAGUUGGAAGUGAAAUCCCCGGGCUCAACCUGGGAACUGCUUUCAAAACUGCUGAGCUAGAGUACGGUAGAGGGUGGUGGAAUUUCCUGUGUAGCGGUGAAAUGCGUAGAUAUAGGAAGGAACACCAGUGGCGAAGGCGACCACCUGGACUGAUACUGACACUGAGGUGCGAAAGCGUGGGGAGCAAACAGGAUUAGAAACCCGUGUAGUCC